rnacentral:rRNA from 1 species
UACAGAGGGUGCAAGCGUUGUUCGGAAUUAUUGGGCGUAAAGCGCGUGUAGGCGGCUUUGCAAGUCGGGUGUGAAAGCCCUCAGCUCAACUGAGGAAGUGCGCCCCGAAACUGCAGAGCUUGAGUGCCGGAGAGGGUGGCGGAAUUCCCCAAGUAGAGGUGAAAUUCGUAGAUAUGGGGAGGAACACCGGUGGCGAAGGCGGCCACCUGGACGGUAACUGACGCUGAGACGCGAAAGCGUGGGAGCAACAGG